GGGGAAUUUUGCGCAAUGACCGUAAGGUUGACGCAGCAACGCCGCGUGUAUGAUGAAGGCUUUCGGGUCGUAAAGUACUUUCAGCAGGGAAGAAUGGUAAGGGGAGUAACUGCCCUUUAAUUGACGGUACCUGCAGAAGCAGCCCCGGCUAACUCCGUGCCAGCAGCCGCGGUAAUACGGAGGGGGCAAGCGUUGUUCGGAGUCACUGGGCGUAAAGGCUCGUAGGCGGCAGUGUAAGUCGGGAGUUAAAGGCAACAGCUUAACUGUUGUAAGGCUUUUGAAACUACAUUGCUAGAGUACCAGAGAGGUAAGCGGAAUUUCCUGUGUAGCGGUGAAAUGCGUAGAUAUAGGAAGGAACACCAGUGGCGAAGGCGACCACCUGGACUGAUUCUGACACUGAGGUGCGAAAGCGUGGGGAGCAAACA
rnacentral:rRNA from 1 species